UACGUAGGGGGCAAGCGUUGUCCGGAGUUACUGGGCGUAAAGGGCUCGCAGGCGGUGCGAUGCGUUGUGGGUGCCAGCCUUGUGCUUCACACAGGGAGUGCUCGCAAAACGGUGGCACUUGAGGGCCAGAGAGGGACAUGGAACUCCGGGUGGAGUGGUGAAAUGCGUAGAGAUCCGGAAGAACACCAAAGGCGAAGGCAGUGUCCUGGCUGGUACCUGACGCUGAGGAGCGAGAGCUAGGGGAGCGAACAGG
rnacentral:rRNA from 2 species